UUCAUUGUUCUUCAAGUCUAUUGCUGCCUUUUCCUUUAUUUUUGAAAUUAUAGUGCUGGUUUUCAGAGCUCUUUUAUAGGAAAGGAGCUAACAUUUGGUAUCAGAGCAUCCAUUGAUCUUGACGCUUGUGAGAGAAGAUAAGAGUGGCAGGAACAAGUCUUCCUUCACUUCCAAUACCAACAGUGUUUUCUAGAGAAAAUUAUGACUUUUGG
rnacentral:lncRNA from 1 species